rnacentral:rRNA from 1 species
UACGAAGGGGGCUAGCGUUGCUCGGAAUCACUGGGCGUAAAGGGCGCGUAGGCGGCUGAUUUAGUCGAGGGUGAAAGCCCGUGGCUCAACCACGGAAUGGCCUUCGAUACUGGUUGGCUCGAGACCGGAAGAGGACAGCGGAACUGCGAGUGUAGAGGUGAAAUUCGUAGAUAUUCGCAAGAACACCAGUGGCGAAGGCGGCUCACUGGCCCGGUACUGACGCUGAGGUGCGAAAGCGUGGGGAGCAAACAGG